rnacentral:lncRNA from 1 species
CCUGUAGGCAAAGAAACUAGAUUCAUGAAUAUUACUCAAUUUUUCUUUAAGAAACACCCUGUCUCACCCUGAGAUCACUGACCUCUGUUCUGCUGGCAGUUUCAGGGAAUAGUAAUCACCCAGACGUUGUGUGGGUUUGCUUUCCUUCUUCUGGAGGAACGGAGGAUGUUGUUGACAGCCAGCCUAGAGCCCUUCAGUCUGCCUUCUGUAUCUCUCCCAUCCACUGUUAUCAAAAGAAGAAGAGCAUCUCAAAUGGCAGGAGACUUCCAUCAUUCUGUGACUUUAUGGGAUGACAUGCCCAGACCUCUUCCAGUCGGGACUCAGCAACGUGUGGGCUGAUAAAACCAAGCCACGGCAAGCAGUGAAACUGGGGAGGAAUCUUCAUUUGCAUUUUAUUUCCUUGCUAACUACAAACUGAAGAAAGAGAAAACAGUGCAAAGACCUGGAUGGCAGCUGAAGUUUUGAAUAGCCCUUUAAAAACAAAACAAGAACAACCCCUCAACCAAGUUUUUGCUGGAUACCGUCCACAGCCCUCUGAUCAGCCUUAUAUGUUGUGGGCUAAGCAUCAUACAUGGUAAAAAUAUCUAGCUGUGCUUUCCUCACUUGUGUUCCCAGACAGCUGGAGGCUAGAUAAUGGUAUGCUAUUAAAUACAAUAAUAACUCCCAGCAGUGCCAACAUACAGCCAUGUGUUCUGAAGAAGAAAAAUUAGAGUGCUUAAAUGUUUUAAAACAUUUAUCUCCUGGUGGGAAAAAUGAUCCCUUUUAAGUAACGCUGACUGUCAUGUUCUCCAGCUAGAAUAAACAGACAGGAUCUUCUGGCA